rnacentral:tRNA from 1 species
CGCGGGAUGGAGCAGCUCGGUAGCUCGUCGGGCUCAUAACCCGAAGGUCGUCGGUUCAAAUCCGGCUCCCGCAACCA